GACGAACGCUGGCGGCGUGCCUAAUACAUGCAAGUAGAACGCUGAAGGAGGAGCUUGCUUCUCUGGAUGAGUUGCGAACGGGUGAGUAACGCGUAGGUAACCUGCCUGGUAGCGGGGGAUAACUAUUGGAAACGAUAGCUAAUACCGCAUAAGAGUAGAUGUUGCAUGACAUUUGCUUAAAAGGUGCAAUUGCAUCACUACCAGAUGGACCUGCGUUGUAUUAGCUAGUUGGUGAGGUAACGGCUCACCAAGGCAACGAUACAUAGCCGACCUGAGAGGGUGAUCGGCCACACUGGGACUGAGACACGGCCCAGACUCCUACGGGAGGCAGCAGUAGGGAAUCUUCGGCAAUGGACGGAAGUCUGACCGAGCAACGCCCGCGUGAGUGAAAGAAAGGGUUUUUCGGGAUUCGUAAAAGCUUCUGUUGUAAAGAAGAAAGAAACG
rnacentral:rRNA from 1 species